AUUGAACGCUGGCGGCAGGCCUAACACAUGCAAGUCGAACGAGUGGCGGACGGGUGAGUAAUGUCUGGGAAACUGCCUGAUGGAGGGGGAUAACUACUGGAAAAGGUAGCUAAUACCGCAUAACAUCAGAUGUGCCCAGAUGGGAUUAGCUAGUUGGUGGGGUAACGGCUCCCAAAGGCGACGAUCCCUAGCUGGUCUGAGAGGAUGACCAGCCACACGGUAACGGAGACACGGUCCAGACUCCUACGGGAGGCAGCAGGGGGGAAUAUUGCACAAUGGGCGCAAGCCUGAUGCAGCCAUGCCGCGUGUAUGAAGAAGGCCUUCGGGUUGUAAAGUACUUUCAGCGGGGAGGCGUUACCCGCAGAAGAAGCACCGGCUAACUCCGUGCCAGCCGCCGCGGUAAUAC
rnacentral:rRNA from 1 species